rnacentral:lncRNA from 1 species
UAUAUGCACUGACAAAUUUUGCAAAAAAAAAAAAACGAUAAGCAUAAAAGAUUAAGGGAACUAACAUGCUUCAUUUAAAUUUUGCUCUGCGCGUCUGAAUGGCAUCAAAGUCAUCAAUAAGUUGAUCGGUUGUAAACUCCACUGUAAUCUCCUUUUCAAUGUAAAUUAUUAAGUAAUCUCUUAGGAACCCAUCUUCUAUCUUAUUCCAAAGCCUGGUUUUAACAAGUUCCAUUGCAGAAAAGGCACGCUCUGUCGACUGUCGUAGCCGUGG